rnacentral:rRNA from 2 species
AGCCGCUUCGGUGGUGGAUUAGUGGCGAACGGGUGAGUAACACGUGGGCAAUCUGCCCUUCACUCUGGGACAAGCCCUGGAAACGGGGUCUAAUACCGGAUACGACCUCCGACCGCAUGGUCUGGUGGUGGAAAGCUCCGGCGGUGAAGGAUGAGCCCGCGGCCUAUCAGCUUGUUGGUGGGGUGAUGGCCUACCAAGGCGACGACGGGUAGCCGGCCUGAGAGGGCGACCGGCCACACUGGGACUGAGACACGGCCCAGACUCCUACGGGAGGCAGCAGUGGGGAAUAUUGCACAAUGGGCGAAAGCCUGAUGCAGCGACGCCGCGUGAGGGAUGACGGCCUUCGGGUUGUAAACCUCUUUCAGCAGGGAAGAAGCGCAAGUGACGGUACCUGCAGAAGAAGCGCCGGCUAACUACGUGCCAGCAGCCGCGGUAAUACGUAGGGCGCGAGCGUUGUCCGGAAUUAUUGGGCGUAAAGAGCUCGUAGGCGGCUUGUCGCGUCGGAUGUGAAAGCCCGGGGCUUAACCCCGGGUCUGCAUUCGAUACGGGCAGGCUAGAGUUCGGUAGGGGAGAUCGGAAUUCCUGGUGUAGCGGUGAAAUGCGCAGAUAUCAGGAGGAACACCGGUGGCGAAGGCGGAUCUCUGGGCCGAUACUGACGCUGAGGAGCGAAAGCGUGGGGAGCGAACAGGAUUAGAUACCCUGGUAGUCCACGCCGUAAACGUUGGGAACUAGGUGUGGGCGACAUUCCACGUCGUCCGUGCCGCAGCUAACGCAUUAAGUUCCCCGCCUG